rnacentral:lncRNA from 1 species
AAGAUGGAGGAACUUGCAGGAAAUUUAUCAUAAAAUGGUACCAUGACGCGGUGACUGGAAACUGUGCAAGAUUCUGGUAUGGAGGUUGUGGUGGAAAUGAAAACAGAUUUGAUUCGCAGGAAGAAUGUGAAAAGGUUUGCUCUCCUGUGCUCGUCAAACCCAAAGUCAUAGCUGCAAUUGGGACCUAAGCGUGGCCCCCGUGACACAUACCUCUUGAGGAAGAAGGAGGCAGCCACUGCAAGUCGUCUCUGUAGAAGCCCUCGGUGUAGACCGCCUUGCACUGUGCCGUUUCAUGCUUUGAGUUACACUCGGACUUGGGAGGAAACGUCUGCCGCAUGACUAUCCAUAUGGUGCUAACUGUGUCUGUGGACCCAGCGCUCUCUGUCUCUAGGCAGUUACAUCGUAUACUUUGAACGUUGCGCAACAGUUACCCACUGCUGGUGUUUCUGUGAAUAUCCCCAUAAAGUCAGAUUCCCUCUGGAAAAAUAACCCCCAACUUCACAGCUACUCUGUAUCCUUCCGCUUGGUUCAUUCCUGCCCCGCCUUUCAUUAAGCAUGAUUUUAGAUGGAAAGCCUGUUGUAUGGAGAAUAAGCAAGAGUCCACGUGUUCAUGUACCACCAAUUUCCUGGAUUCGAUUGCGAGCUAAUUUUCUUUUUUCUAAAGCUUCUAAGGAACAAUCUAGGGAGGCAGAAGCCAACUCCCUUAAUCUUUGUGCGCCAUUGCGGGACCAAUGCCUUCAUUAAAGGAUGAAAAGAAAGUCAUAAUAGAGAAUAUUUUUGGCAUUCCUCUAAUGUUGUGCGUGUGUUUCAUUUUUUAUUUUUUUUUUGUGCAGGGGGGUUUAAUUUUAAUUUUAAAAUUUUUAGGAAAUUUAUACAAAGGAAACUUUUUAAUAAAGUAUAUUGAAAGUGU